GAUGAACGCUGGCGGCGUGCCUAAUACAUGCAAGUCGAGCGAACAGACGAGGAGCUUGCUCCUCUGACGUUAGCGGCGGACGGGUGAGUAACACGUGGAUAACCUACCUAUAAGACUGGGAUAACUUCGGGAAACCGGAGCUAAUACCGGAUAAUAUAUUGAACCGCAUGGUUCAAUAGUGAAAGACGGUUUUGCUGUCAAUUAUAGAUGGAUCCGCGCCGCAUUAGCUAGUUGGUAAGGUAACGGAUUACCAAGGCAACGAUGCGUAGCCGACCUGAGAGGGUGGUCGGUCACACUGGAACUGAGACACGGUCCAGACUCCUACGGGAGGCAGCAGUAGGGCAUCUUCCACAAUGCGCGAAAGCCUGUCGGCGCAUAGCCGCGUGAGUGAUGAAGGUCUUCGUAUCGUAAAACUCUGUUAUUAGGGAAGAACAAAUGUGUAAGUCACUAUGCACGUCUUGACGGUACCUAAUCAGAAAGCCACGGCUAACUACGUG
rnacentral:rRNA from 1 species